GUGAAAUGCUGAAGAUAUAUCUUUUCCUUUACUAGGGAGAGAAAAUGGACUUUCCGUCCCUAGGGAAAAGUCUUUCCCUCCUUCGUAAAGGAAAACGUCAUAAUACACUAGGGAAAUAAGUUGAUAUUUCGUAUCACGAUGAGUAAAAGUACCUCGGGCUAAAUCCAUCGGCCACUUUUACUCAUA